rnacentral:rRNA from 1 species
GAUAAACGCUGGCGGCGCACAUAAGACAUGCAAGUCGAACGAACUUAAUUGAGAGCUUGCUCUCAAAGCGGUUAGUGGCGGACUGGUGAGUAACACGUAAGCAACCUGCCUAUUAGAGGGGAAUAACAGCGAGAAAUCGUUGCUAAUACCGCAUAUGCUGCGAGUAUCGCAUGAUACAAGCAGGAAAGGAGCAAUCCGCUAAUAGAUGGGCUUGCGUCUGAUUAGUUAGUUGGUGGGGUAACGGCCUACCAAGACGAUGAUCAGUAGCCGGACUGAGAGGUUGAACGGCCACAUUGGGACUGAGAUACGGCCCAGACUCCUACGGGAGGCAGCAGUCGGGAAUAUUGCGCAAUGGAGGAAACUCUGACGCAGUGACGCCGCGUGCAGGAAGAAGGUUUUCGGAUUGUAAACUGCUUUUAACAGGAAAGAAAAAAAUGACGGUACCUGUGAAUAAGCUCC